CAAUAGCGUAUACUAAUGUUGCUGCAGUUAAAAAGCUCGUAGUCGAAUUUGUGAUCUUUCAAGCUCGAACUCGCUCUAAAGGAGUGGUGCUUCGAAACGCUUGUGGAUCAUUGUUCUGGGCGCGUCUCUAAUCCUUGAUUGGGUGGUGACUUUACUCAGAUCUUUUACUGUGAACAAAUGAGGGUGUUCAAAGCAGGCUUAUUAUGCCUGAAUCUUUUAGCAUGGAAUAAUAAUAUAUAACUUCGGUUUAUAUUGUUGGCUUAUAACCAAAGUAAUGAUCGAUAGGGAUGGUUGGGGGUGCUCAUAUUUAACGGGUAGCGGUGAAAUGCAAUGAUCCGUUAAAGAUGAACUAAUGCGAAAGCAUUCACCAAGGACAUUUUCUUUGA
rnacentral:rRNA from 1 species